rnacentral:rRNA from 1 species
CGGUGGAGCAUGUGGUUUAAUUCGAUGCUACGCGAAGAACCUUACCAGGUCUUGACAUCUUCUGCCAACCUAAGAGAUUAGGCGUUCCCUUCGGGGACAGAAUGACAGGUGGUGCAUGGUUGUCGUCAGCUCGUGUCGUGAGAUGUUGGGUUAAGUCCCGCAACGAGCGCAACCCUUAUUGUUAGUUGCCAGCAUUCAGUUGGGCACUCUAGCAAGACUGCCGGUGACAAACCGGAGGAAGGUGGGGAUGACGUCAAAUCAUCAUGCCCCUUAUGACCUGGGCUACACACGUGCUACAAUGGACGGUACAACGAGUCGCGAAACCGCGAGGUCAAGCUAAUCUCUUAAAGCCGUUCUCAGUUCGGAUUGUAGGCUGCAACUCGCCUACAUGAAGUUGGAAUCGCUAGUAAUCGUGGAUCAGCAUGCCACGGUGAAUACGUUCCCGGGCCUUGUACACACCGCCCGUCACACCAUGAGAGUUUGUAACACCCAAAGCCGGUGAGGUAACCUUCGGGGACCAGCCGUCUAAGGUGGGACAGAUGAUUAGGGUGAAGUCGUAACAAGGUAACC